rnacentral:rRNA from 1 species
AGAACGAACGCUGGCGGCAGGCUUAACACAUGCAAGUCGAACGCGUGUAGCAAUACACGAGUGGCGCACGGGUGAGUAACGCGUGGAUAUCUGCCUUUUGGUUCGGAAUAACCCCGGGAAACUUGUGCUAAUACCGGAUAAGCCCUUACGGGGAAAGAUUUAUCGCCGAAAGAUCGGCCCGCGUCUGAUUAGCUAGUUGGUGUGGUAACGGCGCACCAAGGCGACGAUCAGUAGCUGGUCUGAGAGGAUGAUCAGCCACAUUGGGACUGAGACACGGCCCAAACUCCUACGGGAGGCAGCAGUGGGGAAUAUUGGACAAUGGGCGCAAGCCUGAUCCAGCCAUGCCGCGUGAGUGAUGAAGGCCCUAGGGUUGUAAAGCUCUUUUGUGCGGGAAGAUAAUGACGGUACCGCAAGAAUAAGCCCCGGCUAACUUCGCGCCAGCAGCCGC